rnacentral:misc_RNA from 1 species
GGAAAAUGAUGUUCACAUGAUUUGCCAAACAUUGUUUUAUUCUCUUCUUUUGAGAAUACAUAAAACAUCAGAUGGAAGAUCUGGUCUAGCUUUAGGUUACAGGAGAAGAAAUUAAGAUUGGUAUAUUUCACAUCAUAUAUCAACAGGACUUUCCAUUGUAGAUACAGCCUGAUAUGUAUCUGCUGCAAGGGAUGAGAGAGAGAGAGAGAGUAAUUAACCAAGAAAGUUAACUAACAUGGACAAAGGAAUUAAACAAAGGCCUUUCUUCUUCAAGUCUCUGCAGUCUUUAUUCCCAGUACUGCAACUCAUUUCACAUCUUUCAUCAUCUGUCUCCACUACUCCUCCAUAAUGCUCUAAAGCACCUCCUUUACCCUGCCAAAAAAAAAAAAAUCAUCACAAGAAUCCAUUAAUCAAGCUUCUUUUUAGAUUUUCCAACCAAUAUUUGGGUUAUUUUAUGGCUGAAUUGAUACACCUGCAAAUAAUUGCAGGCCUAACUAGGUCAGGCAUUCUUUCGAGAGAGAAAAACAACAGCAUAUAGAACAAUUAAUAUCUAUAUAUCCCAGAAAAAGAAAAGGAAAAAGAAAUAUCAAAAGAGAAUAAUGUUUACCAGGGAGCUAUUGAAAUGGUCAUUUGUCUUUCUGGGAUUCACAUCAUUUGGUAGGAAAUCACUAACCUGAUGAUAUAAAUAAGGCGAAAAAAAAGGACAUCAUCUGUCUUGGAAUUUGAUAGAAUAUAAGAGGGGAAAUUAAAGGGAAAGUAAUUUAAUUAUCAAACCUUGGGACUGUUAACAGGAGAACUAGCAGUGUCCUCCAGAGACUCAUCAUGAUGAGACCUUCUUCUGGUUUUUGCUUUCUUGAAAGUUAACUUGUUGGGGGUACUCGGGGAGCAGGAGGCAAGAACAUGGUUGUAAUUAUGAUGAGAUGAUGAUGAUUUCCAUGCAGGGAAAGAAGCAGCAUCAGAAACCAUAGAAGAGCUACCAAAACCAGAACAGUAACUAUCCUCCUUUCUUUGGUUAGAGAAAUCUUCAAAAUAAGCUGUCCAACCACUACUCUCCUGAUCAUCAGCUGUUGUUCUUUCAUCAGAAUUUGCCACAACUUCUCUAUUCCUUGAUGAAUUGUUCAUAGAGCCCUCCAUCAAAUUCUACAAGGAGAACAAAUAUCUAAGAGAACAAAUAUCUAAGAAAUAUCUGCAGUUAUGUAUGUAUGUAUAUAUAGAUGUUUCACCAGAAGCUAGAGGCCUUUCUGAAGAAGGGGUUUAUAGCAGAAAGAGAGAGAGAGAGAU